rnacentral:rRNA from 1 species
UAAUACGUAGGAGGCGAGCGUUAUCCGGAUUUACUGGGCGUAAAGAGAGCGUAGGCGGCCUUUCAAGUCGGAUGUGAAAUCUCCCGGCUUAACUGGGAGGGGUCAUCCGAUACUGUUGGGCUUGAGGGCAUCAAGAGGAGGUGGAAUUCCCGGUGUAGUGGUGAUAUGCGUAGAUAUCGGGAGGAACACCAGCGGCGAAGGCGGCCUUCUGGGAUGUUUCUGACGCUGAGGCUCGAAAGUGUGGGUAGCGAACAGGAUUAGAUACCCUGGUAGUCCACACCGUAAACGAUGGACACUAGGUAUAGGGAGUAUCGACCCUCUCUGUGCCGAAGCUAACGCCUGAAGUGUCCCGCCUGGGGACUACGGCCGCAAGGCUA